AAAAGAUGUAGUUUUUUUAUGGAGACUAAAAAUUUAUUUAACACUACUUACAAAUAGACAAAGUGUGAACAAUUGAAGGUAGAUAUAGUUUUGUUGCAUAGUUACCAACAUUUCAAUUAUUUUAAAGAAGAUACCGAACAUUAAACAUAGUAUUAUAGAUAACUCAUCCAUUGUGAUUGAUUAGACUACUCUUCAUCAUAAUUUCAUAAGUAUUCAUUUGUGCUUAAGAUGGUUUCUUCAGCUUCUAAUAAAGAUAAACUUUGUCUAUUCACAUAUAAAAAGGAUUUACACAUUUUUAGCAUCCCAUAUCAAACUCUCCUUAUUGCCAUUAUGUUGUUGUCAACUCUUAUGUGAUGCAAUGUUUUCCUCCAUGUGGACAAAUUGGGGGGAUGAUGUUCCCACAACUGAAAAACUAUCAAUUCUUUAAUUGGUGCCUCCUUGAAGAUCAAUUAGCUCUUGAACUUGUAGUUGGCAUUCCUUUCAAGGGCAUGCACAAUGAGCGAUUUAAAAUAUUAUCACGAUCAACACGUGGUAUAAUAUGGAUAGGAAAUGGAUUUCAGCCAAUCG